rnacentral:rRNA from 1 species
AGUGAACGCUGGCGGUAGGCCUAACACAUGCAAGUCGAACGGCAGCACAGGAGAGCUUGCUCUCUGGGUGGCGAGUGGCGGACGGGUGAGGAAUACAUCGGAAUCUACUCUGUCGUGGGGGAUAACGUAGGGAAACUUACGCUAAUACCGCAUACGACCUACGGGUGAAAGCAGGGGACCUUCGGGCCUUGCGCGAUUGAAUGAGCCGAUGUCGGAUUAGCUAGUUGGCGGGGUAAAGGCCCACCAAGGCGACGAUCCGUAGCUGGUCUGAGAGGAGGAUCAGCCACACUGGAACGGAGGCAGGGUCCAGCCUCCUACGGGAGGCAGCAGUGGGGAAUAUUGGACAAUGGGCGCAAGCCUGAUCCAGCCAUACCGCGUGGGUGAAGAAGGCCUUCGGGUUGUAAAGCCCUUUUGUUGGGAAAGAAAUCCAGCUGGCUAAUACCCGGUUGGGAUGACGGUACCCAAAGAAUAAGCACCGGCUAACUUCGUGCCAGCAGCCGCCGUAA